UUUUUGUUGGGCCCAGUAUGAAGGCAAACUGUUUGAUGUAGGAUAUAGAGCAUGCUUGUCAGUCCUGCUUUAGUAUCUUUUCAAAAAUUAUGCCACUGGACAAAUAUAAUUAAAAUAGGCAAUCAUUUAAAAUAAGAAUAUAGUGCAGUUACUGCCAGUGCUGAAAUUUUUGUAAUGUACAGAUGCAAUCAAUUAUCCACUGCCUAACUAUGAACUCUUCCAUUCCUCUGUACCACAUUGUUCAUGUGGAAAAAUGUCACUGAAUGGUAUAUAACCUACUUAGAGUGCUUUUAUGUUGAGAGUAAUUGCUGCCUUGAACAAAAUGGUGACUGCUGCAUACUGUUCCAGGUGGCAUCCAGGUUCCUUUGGCAUCAAACUAUGUAUCCGGCCCACUUUCAGCAAGUUUUUGGACCAUACUACUCUUACUCCAUUAAUAAUGUAAUAAUUUUGUCUUUCUAUAAAACUUUGUUUUGUGACAGAUUAUCUUGUGGUUCUAAAUAAUAUUCCUUGAGCCAAGUAUAUGAAGGUAUGUGGUGUACCUUACGUUUACCUCAAAGGAAACUGUAAUGGUUGCUCUGAUACUGUGGGAACAUUUUUUUUUUAAAAUUUUUUUUGGGGGGGGAGUAAUUUCCUUCUAACUUAACAAUAUAAGGGUAUUAACAAAUAGAAAAUUUGUUCCUCCUUCCUCCCCCUUCCCCCACUGAUUAUACUAGCUGUCUCACCUUCUUGCAAAGGUGGUUAACGUACUUGGACCUCCUUCUGUGACAGCAAAGGAAAAUCCAUCUGAUGGCCAGCAUUCAUCACACAAGAGAUUGCAGGAACCAGUCAGUACUUCUCAGUGGAUAACCAACCACUUUAAAAGAACUACACUUUGCAGCAAGUAUUUCAGAUUUACAUACAACAAAUAUGAACUUCAAAAAAUCAUUUUUUGUUUUCUUCUCAGAAUACUGCUGAAGUUCCUUGAAAGGGUCUGUAGUGUAUGCUGCUUAUUACAGGAUGAUGUGUACAUAGGGAUCGGACAAGCAUAAGGCAUUCACUCUCCAGAACAGAAUUGUAUUAUUCAAGAGUCAGAUUCAGAAUGACUUCUGGUAACUUACUUGGUGAUGGCAAAUAGCUUGAAGUGCAACUACUUUGUUCUCAGUUGUCUCAGUUUUACAAGACGGAUAACCCUCACCAGCUAAGAAUGCACUACUUACUGCAAGCACCAGCUUAAAAACAGAGCCUGCACCAUCACUGCUAUGCUAACUUCAAGUCAUCUUUCCUCCCCUUCCUCUGACCCAUACUUCAGUUAUUUGGAAUAUUUCCUAUUGCAGAUGAGCCCUGCUGCUAUUACUUCCAAUAAUAUUGAGACAAGCACACACUCUCUAGUGAAAUAAACUCCAUUCUACUA